UACAGAGGUCUCAAGCGUUGUUCGGAUUCAUUGGGCGUAAAGGGUGCGUAGCGGCGCGGUAAGUCGGGUGUGAAAUCUUCGGAGCUUAACUCCGAAACUGCAUUCGAUACUGCCGUGCUUGAGGACUGGAGAGGAGACUGGAAUUUACGGUGUAGCGGUGAAAUGCGUAGAUAUCUGGAGGAAUACCGGUGGCGAAGGCGGCAUCCUGGACCGACAUUGACGCUGAGGAGCGAAAGCUAGGGGAGCAAACGGG
rnacentral:rRNA from 1 species